UUGCUAUGAUGAGUACCAGAAUAUCAUGAAGUUAAUAUAUAGUUACUUGAUUAAAUUCAUCCUGGUGCGGUUACCUGAGCAA
rfam:Ricinus communis ctg_1100012350204, whole genome shotgun sequence.